rnacentral:rRNA from 1 species
AUUGAACGCUGGCGGCAUGCCUUACACAUGCAAGUCGAACGGCAGCACGGGUGCUUGCACCUGGUGGCGAGUGGCGAACGGGUGAGUAAUGCAUCGGAACGUGCCCAGUCGUGGGGGAUAACGCAGCGAAAGUUGUGCUAAUACCGCAUACGUCCUGAGGGAGAAAGCAGGGGAUCUUCGGACCUUGUGCGAUUGGAGCGGCCGAUGUCAGAUUAGCUAGUUGGUGAGGUAAAAGCUCACCAAGGCGACGAUCUGUAGCUGGUCUGAGAGGAUGAUCAGCCACACUGGAACUGAGACACGGUCCAGACUCCUACGGGAGGCAGCAGUGGGGAAUUUUGGACAAUGGGGGCAACCCUGAUCCAGCCAUGCCGCGUGAGUGAGGAAGGCCUUCGGGUUGUAAAGCUCUUUCGGCCGGGAAGAAAUCGUGCAGGCUAAUACCCUGUAUGGAUGACGGUACCGGAAUAAGAAGCACCGGCUAACUACGUGCCAGCCGCCGCAGUAACAC